AACAAGCCCAUCAUUACAGUGUUGUGUAUAGUAGUGUGAGUGUCUCUCUCCUAAACAUUCUCUAAGCUCCACCUGCUCAUCUCAGACCUCAGAACAGAGCUUCUCACUGUCGCCACCAUUUUGCUUUUGUUGUGUAGUUGGAACCGAGUAGUAUAACCUUUUCAAAUUGGCUUCUUUACUCAGUAGUAUGCAUUUGAAGUUCCUGUGUCUGUGGCUUGAUGACUUACUUUCUAGUACAGAGUAGUGCUAAAUAUAUGGGGUUUGGACAAAUGUAUAAUGAGAGGGAUCUGUCAUUACAGUAGUCUACAAGGCAUGGAGGAUGCUAGCUAGCAUGCUCAGGUUUUGAUGGUAGCCUUCUUCUUCACUUGUAGAUGACUGCUUUCUUGCUGUGUCCUCACGUGGUACCGAGGAGAGUUACCCUCUUCCCACACCAUCAUCUAACCUUAGCAGUCUCCUCAGGAUUCUGUCAGACGUAGCCAUAUUGGGAAUUAGGGUUUCAAUAUGGCUUUGGGAGGACCUAACUCAGUUUAUGUUAAUAUAUCUGCUUAUCUGUUUAUAUAUCUUUGCAUAUAUGUUUAUAUGUCUAUAUGUAAUUUGUAUAUCUGUUUACAUGUUGCUAUCUUGGUGCUUCCAGUUUUUAGCAGUUACACAUGUAGCUGCUCUAACCAUCUGUGUGCAGGUUUUUGUGUUGGUGUAAAUUUUCGUAUCAUUUGGUCUGAUUGAGUAGGUUUGGUUUAUAGUAAACUGCCAAACUUGCAGUUCUGUGUCUCCAUCAGCAGUGAGUGGACGUUUCUGUUUGCUGGUAUUUGCUGUUGCCUGUACUUUGGAGUUUAGCCAUUUUAUUGGGCAUGUGGUGGUACCUUGUUUUAAUUGCAAAUUUCUAGUAUUUCAUGGUGUUGGUCAUCUUUCCACGGCUAGUUUGCAAUCUUUCCUUUCCCUCUUCUUUCCUCCCCUCUUCCUGUCACUCGAGUUGUGCAGAAGUCACUCUUUCUUUUUUUUUUUUAAAGCCACAUAAGAAAUGUGUGCCAAGCCAAAAAGCUUCCUGCCACUGCGGUUUCUCUCAUGCCUUUAGGAUCUCCUGUGAAGCCUCUCUUCCUUUUCUUGCCCUAAUCAAAGCAUGACACUCCCCUGAUGACACAGCUUUCCCCGCUUUCUGCACACAGCAACUCAGAAUAUAGUAGGUGUUUUCUUAUCCUUCUCUGCCAUCUCCAGAACAUCUCCUGUCCUCCAUAUUAAGUAUCUAGGUGUAAAUCUUAUUUGGUCACAGUAUACAGUCCUCCACCUCGUUCUGCUGCUGAGGUCUGCUGAUUCUUCAGUCACUUUCAGUCCCUUCUCAGAAAAUGUAGCUGUUACUUUCUCCAUCAUGCUGCUGUUGGGAUUCUUGGAUAUCUCAGUAGGCUUGGCCAGUCUAUUCUUUGGUCUUGUUUCUCUCUCUCUCUCUCUGAUGAUUGUUCCCCC
rnacentral:lncRNA from 1 species